rnacentral:rRNA from 1 species
CACGUAGGGCGCAAGCGUUGUCCGGAAUUAUUGGGCGUAAAGAGCUCGUAGGCGGUCUGUUGCGUCUGCUGUGAAAACCCGGGGCUUAACCCCUGGCUUGCAGUGGAUACGGACAGACUAGAGGUAGGUAGGGGAGAAUGGAAUUCCUGGUGUAGCGGUGAAAUGCGCAGAUAUCAGGAGGAACACCGGUGGCGAAGGCAGUGGUCUGGGCCGAUACUGACGCUGAGGAGCGAAAGCGUGGGGAGCGAACAGG